rnacentral:rRNA from 1 species
UACGUAGGGUGCAAGCGUUAAUCGGAAUUACUGGGCGUAAAGCGCGUGUAGGCGGCUAAGUAAGUCGGGCGUGAAAUCCCACGGCUCAACCGUGGAAGUGCACUCGAAACUGCAUAGCUAGAGUCCUGGAGAGGAAGGUGGAAUGCUUGGUGUAGAGGUGAAAUUCGUAGAUAUCAAGCGGAACACCGGUGGCGAAGGCGGCCUUCUGGACAGUGACUGACGCUGAGACGGCGAAAGCGUGGGGAGCAAACAGGG